GUGUGGGGUCCCUUGCACCCCUCAGGGUCGGGUCCGGGCCCCCCCGGGCCGGGUUCAGAGCAGGCUCCAGCUCUGCCCGUCGUGGUCCCACGCGGUGCUGGGUCUCCGUGCCGCCUGCCCCUGCCACCCCACGGCCGCAGCGGGGACACGUCCGCCUGCCGCCUGCCCCGCGUCCCAGCUCGGCUGGAGAUGGUGCUGCGCGCUCUGUGUUGGUCUAACCUGGAAGGCUGAGGAGCAACCGCGUGCGUGGUGGGCCAUGCUCUGGUCAGUGCCUGCCAGACCAAGGCACAUAGCUGCACACAGUUUCCAGGCAUCAAACUAG
rnacentral:lncRNA from 1 species